GCUGUACGGUGACGUCCAGAAAGAUCGGUGCUCGUGUGUACGUCGAGCCCUACCAGAGGACCUGAAACUAAGUUAAGUUCUUGUGUGUCUUAUGGAAUGUAAAUUGCCUAGCCUUAGUUUAGCAACCUCAUGGUAGAUGGUAAGGUGUUGAGUGUGUUUUGUUGACAUGCCGAGUGAUGAUGCUGGUAGGGGUGUAUUAUAUACUUUGUAAAUGGAGGCUCCUUUUGCAUUCGGGGCUAAUAGAUCGAUCUUUCUGUGGUGUACAGGCCGGGUGUGUGGCUGAUUUUGUUUCUGAAGGUUUCUGUGACUGUGUCGAUAGUCGGGAUUGCAUUCGGUCAGUUUUGUAAGUUAUGUUCUUUAGUAAACAGGGCCUUCCCUGGUUAACUCACCACCUGUUCUAAUUUCUGUUUUUUUUUUAUGUCGUGGUCAGUGGUUGUCGGGACUUCCUUGACCAUUACAUAAGCUGCCUGUGUCGUUAUCUUGGGUCCCGAACCAAGAUAACGACACAGGCCAGAAAGGAAGACAGGUGACUGAAAUCAGAGUAGUUAAUUUUUUUUAGAAACACUCGAAUUCCCGGGGUCGACACAGUCACAGAAACUGAAUCAGCUAUGCACUGGGCUUUGUAUGCCAUAGAAACAAAACUUGCUUUCGAAAAUUAAACCGAAACAAACAGCAACAUUACUUCCAUUUCAUCAAAGCGCACUCAACAUCCUGCCACCCAUCAUGAGAUCAUGAUUAUUCCACCUAUUUCUAUGUUAAACCUAUAUUUCGUAGUUUAAUUUUGUCUCGUCUUUUCUACCGAGGAUCAUUGCACCGUAGGAAGACAUGCCUGGACGUGGGAACUUGAGGUGCCAAGGACUGGUGAAGGAAGGUGCUGAACGGAAGGGACUUCGCAUUCGUUCCUGCACAUAUGACAAGGAAUGUGUACGGAAUGUGACAGUGGUCCUGGCGGAAGGCGUCUUGGUGUCCAGGACCUCUCGUUGUGGGUUUCCUUGGAAGUCUUCAUCAGCUUCUUCAGAAGACAUUCCAUGACUUUGUUUAGAUGUCUUGAUGGACAUGGGACCUUUCCCAGACAUUUGACAAGCAAUGUCUGGUCGUGCUAAGGAAAGGUGGGCAGUGGAGGUGGCAGGCGUCAUAGUCACGAAGGCGCUUCACAACAUCCGGAGAGACAGUGGUCCUGGCGGAAGGCGUCUUGGUGCCUCGUCUCGUUCAAUGUCUGGACUUGCUAAGGGAAAGGUGGGCAGGGGAGGUGGCAGGCGUCACAGUCACGGAGGCGCUUCACAUCCGGAGAGACAGUGGUCCUGGCGGAAGGCGUCUUGGUGCCUCGUCUCGUUGUGGGUUUCCUUGGAAGUCUUCAUCAGCUUCUUCGGAAGACAUUCAUGAUGUCUGGAUGGACAUGAAACCUUUCCUAGACAAGUUGCAACAAGUUGGGAAGGAGAGUCAUCUCUCAGCAACUUCUAGGAUCUUAUUGGUGCCAUCAAGCCGGAUCAACUACGGCCACAAUGUUCAUGGUUGGACUUAUCCCGGUGAGAGGUUGUCCGAUGCUGAUCUCCACGGUGACGUCCAGAACGAUCGGUGCUCGUGUGUACGCCUUGCCAGAGGACCGGAAAUUGUCAAGUUCUCAUGUGUCUUGGGAGGCGUUAGAUGGCAACAUGCUGCAGAUACGGUGCGCACUAACGUGUCAUUAGCCAUGAUAGAAAGUAAAUGAAUUGUGAGAUUGCAAUUAUUGCUUUAACUGAACGAACGAUACCCUCUGUACGUCCUGAGGGUAUUGUUGGAAGGACUGAUCACAACUUCUCUGUUGGUGUUAAGGUGCCUGAGGGGGUUUUGUUGACAUGCUGAGUUUUGUAGCCAGUAGGUGGUCAGGACAUUUUGUGAAUGGAGGCUUUUUUUGCACUCAACCUGUUUUAUGUGUUAUAUUUCUGUUUUAUGUCGUGGUCAGUGGUAGUCGGGAACCUCUCUGCCUCGUUUUGUUAUCUCUUGGGUCCGGAACCAAGAGAAUGACACAGGCAAGAAAGGAAGACAGUUUCAAAAAAAAUUCAGUAGAUGUCAAUAUUGCCGGUCCAUUGUACAGAGGUCUAUUGUAGCCAUUUAAAUCAAUCCUUUGGGAAAUUUCCCUACCUAAGGCUAAUUGGCUAGCGCUGUCACUAACACAAUGACACACACACACACA